GUAGAGAAAUUUUCUCUUUUCGCUUCGAAUUUUUUCUCUCACAAAACCAAAAACCCGGCUUAACUAUGUGUUGUGCCGUAAAAAGAAGAAAAGAAAAACCUAAAACCCUAGAACCAAACCACCCCUCUUAUAUUAUUCGAUCUAGCUACGCCUCCACCUUCUUCCUAAUCUGCGUAGCCCUGUUUACCUCUCUUCUUUUGUUCGUUGAUUUACCUUCGGAGGUGAUUUCUGCAACCCUAAUAAUUGAGGGAUAGAGCAUCAUCUACAGUCAUGUAUGGUUGCUGCUCAUCUGAGAUAUAUCUGUUCCUCCAAGCUAAAUUAUGGAUAAACCCUAAUACCCACUCAAGAUAUGAUCUCUCAAUUCAAGGGUUGCAGAACUAAUGGCAUUGAAACAUAAGCUUUUCACAGUCUAAAGUGGAGGGGUUGGUUUGCAGUACAACUACCCUGGAUGCAGCCUAUGGUGCACGACAGGGUUUUCGGAAGAAAAGCAUAAUCAGAAAGAUGAUGACGAGGAAUAGAAGAAAAAGUUGUUGUAACUUAAGUUGGUGCUGCAACUCAAGUAAGAUCGAGGACUAAUUAAGAGCUUUAUAUUGAGGAUGUCAAGAAUGCCAUUUUUCCAUUUUUUUCUGCCUUUUCUGCAAGUGAAUCUAUGGUGCGAGUUUUUGUGUUUUAAAGAAUAUCUUUUUUCUUUUACUGUAGCUGAUAUUCAAACGACACUGCUUGAGGCAUGGCUGCUUUCAGUGUCAAGGGAAAUCUUGGAUCAAUCUUUGGAUUAUUAGUCAUUGGUUGCUGGCUAUUUUACUCCAUCUUCUCUAAGAUACAUACUUUGCUAGAGCGUAAUUAGCCUUCCUAUGAUGAUCAUAGGCUGUUUUACUAUACAUGUUUUAAAGAUGUAGUUAAUUUUUGGUUUUUGCAGAAGUUGAAUAACUUUUGGGACCAGAAGAAAGGGCAAUCUUGGAGCAAAAUGAAGCUUCUGAUCUUACUAAAAUAUCAAUUAUUAGUUACCUAAACCUUUGGCGGACGAUAAACCGAUUCUGAAAAAUAUCAAUUGAGCAGGUUUAGGCCUUUCAGUUUUGAUUUCCAGCCUUAAUGAAGAGGGGCAGUAUCGAGACACUUGCACACAAUAUCACGGAAAGUGAACAAGAGUGUUGCUCUCAUCUCAAAUAUGACAAGGUGCAAAAACCUAAAAGGAGAUUGCUUCAAAUUUUGAAGGUGGAAAAUGGAGAACCAAAGGGAGGUAACAGAGCUGCAUCUACUGGACUUCAGCCAUAGACAACCAGAUGUCGCACUCCACAACAGCCAGAUGGAUCAAGCUACUAAUGCUGGAGAACAACGAAGGCAACAAGACGGAUAACAUGGUUCAUUUUCAGAAAUACUUUUGUAGUAUACUUAUACACUGUUGGCUGUAGAUGUCUAUGAUCAACUUUGUUCAGAACCUUUAGAAGUUUAAGUGAUUUUAUAUCUGCA